rnacentral:rRNA from 1 species
CCUACGGGUGGCAGCAGUGAGGAAUAUUGGUCAAUGGACGAGAGUCUGAACCAGCCAAGUAGCGUGAAGGAUGACUGCCCUAUGGGUGGUAAACUUCUUUUAUAGAGGAAUAAAACGAGGCACGUGUGCCUUUUUGCAUGGACUUUAUGAAUAAGGAUCGGCUAACUCCGUGCCAGCAGCCGCGGUAAUACGGAGGAUCCGAGCGUUAUCCGGAUUUAUUUGGUGUAAAGGGAGCGUAGAUGGGUUGUUAAGUCAGUUGUGAAAGUUUGCGGCUCAACCGUAAAAUUGCAAUUGAUACUGGCAGUCUUGAGUACAGUAGAGGUAGGCGGAAUUCGUGGUGUAGCGGUGAAAUGCUUAGAUAUCACGAAGAACCCCGAUUGCGAAGGCAGCUUACUAAACUGUGACUGACAUUGAGGCUCGAAAGUGUGGGUAUCAAACAGGAUUAGAUACCCUUGUAGUC